AUGCCGCCGCCGUCGUCGCCAAAGACCCGCAGUUCCUCUGUGCCAAAGUGGACAAAACACUGGUCCCCGUCGUCGCCGGGCUCGCCAGCCUCGGUCUCUCGCGUCCUGAGAUCGCCCGCCUCGUCUCGCUCGCCCACAGCGGCUUCCGCUCUAGAUCCAUCAUCUCCAAGAUGCACUACUACCUGCCCCUCUUCAGCUCCUGCCACAACUUCCUCCGGGCGCUCCAGCGCUCGUCCUACCUUCUCUCGUCGGACCUUGACAAGGUUGUCAAAGCCCAAUGUCAUGUUCCUGCACGAGUGCGGGCUAGGUGCUUGUGAUAUUGCCAAGUUGUGUAUCCGUGUGCCGAGGAUGCUGACCACCAACCCGGAGCGCGUACGCACGAUGGUGGCAUGUGCCGAAGGUCUAGGUGUGCCCCGUAGCUCAGGUAUGUUCCGGAAAGCAUUGCACGCUGUCGCAUGCAUUAGCGAUGAAAAGAUCACUGCGAAAGUAGACUACUUGAAGAAGACGUUAAGGUGGUCUGAUGCGGAAGCGAGCAUUGCUGUGCGCAAGCAUCCGGGUGUGCUGAGAAAGUCAAAGGAAUCUCUGAAGAGCAGGUCCAAGUUCUUGUUAUAUGAGGUGGGAUUGGAACCUGUGUACAUUGCUCAUCGACCCACAUUUCUUAGUCUUAGCCUGGAGGGGCGGCUCAGACCCUGGCACUAUGUUGUCAAGUUUCUCAAGGAAAAUGGAUUUGUAGAUCGCGACCUGAGCUUCUAUAGUGUAGUCAUGAGGCCCGAGAAGUAUUUCAUGGAGAAAUACAUAUGCCCUCACAAGAAAGCAGCACCACACCUCGCUGAGGAUUAUGCAACUGCUUGCAAAGGGGAAGUGCCGGCUAAUUUCAAAUUUACAUGA
rnacentral:rRNA from 1 species